rnacentral:lncRNA from 1 species
CAGUGUCCCACAUCUUUGUUCUUUUGAUUUUCAUAUAUAAACAAUAUUUAUACAUAUUGGGAUCUUUUGGUAUGGCAUAUACUCAGCUUUCAAGGCUCCCUGAAAUUUUCUAGCUUCCUUCUGGGUAUAUGUAGAGAAACUACAUUGAAAAUUGGUGAUCUGAAUUAACAACAGGUGUGUCACGAUAGAAGAUGCAGUUUUUUACCUGUGGUAGCCCACUUUACAGAAAUGCUUUUAACUACUUGAGGCUGAUGAUUGACUGGUAUUAGAGCAUAUAAAGCAAGUGCUGAGAUCCUUUUGUUUUUAUUGCUUGUUCGUCUUUGUUCUUUCUCUCCAGACUUGUUUUCUUGCCUUUUGUUUUUCUGAUAUAGUUAUGCUGAUAUCUGUGCCAUUGGAAAACUUACUCAGCUUCUUUGUGACAUUCAGUAGCACCCGGUGAAUUUAAAUGACAUUUCUUACGAGAGGCUUUGGAGGUCUCAACAUCAGGUUCCUCGUGUUUUAGACUAAGCACAUAGUUUAAGAGAUUGAAUAAGACUUACGGCAACUAAUUUCUGUGCGCUUGUUUCCAAAUUAAUUCUAUGCAUCUGAAUGAGAUCUAAACCAAGAUGCCACUCUGGUCCUGAUAUAUCUUGGUAUUAAAUGUUGAGAUUUUAAUUCUAUGCAGUUAAGAGAGCUGAGGAUCUCUUUGGAGUAAUGAAGCUGUCCUUCCUAAGGUUAUUUGGAAGAGGAAUGCUUUGCUGAACAGGACAGCACAGGAUGACUUACGAUUCCUGUUCUUCAUGGGAGACUGUAUGGAUUGGUAUGCUUUUUUUUUAUUAUUUGUCAAACUGAUGUGUUGUGAUUACAUAUAUAGUCAAAGAUUCCACUCCUAAAAUUUAGGAAGCAAAGCAUUUAGGAAACUUCCAGCUUGCUAAUUUUAUGUUAACUAUGCAGAAAUAUAAAUUAAAAUAUAAAUUAAUAUAAUUAUAUAAGUAUAUAUUUAUUAUAUAAUUAUAAUUAUAAUAUUAUAUUAAUAAAUAAUAUAUAAUAUAAAUAAAAUAUAAUAAU